UCACACUAUUUGUGUACGUAACACAUGCUGCGUUUCAGGGUGAAUGAUCUAAAAACAUUAAUUUCUUCCUCAGCGAUCAGUGGCAUAUCAUGGAAAAACCUCUUUUUGACAGUGGUUGGUCGGAUGUGAUGGGAGAGUCAUGUCGGCUGUGAGCGUUUAGAGUCAGCGGGGAUACAGAGGCUCCAGUGUAACGAGAGAGAGGCCUUUAUGUGCUGUGACUCAGAUGAACACAGCAGUUGUUGGGGAAAAGGUCAGUGGAUUUUGUUGGUAUUCUGCAGCCGUGCGCUUUUUGGCAGGACACUUGACGGCGCAGCGGGCACUCGAGCUUGAAAUGAUGUUGCUUCCUCCGGCCAGGAGGCGAUGGCUCCCAUGCCACACAGCAUACGCAGGAUGCCAUAAAUCCUACAGUUCUAGUCACGGCACAAGAAGAUCUCUUUAUGGCCCGUAUGGAGAGGAGGAAUGAUUACAACGACCCAUAACUGUUGCAGCGUACAUAUGACGUGUGAUUAGAGAAAUCCCCCGGACCCUGUCAGAAACACCGAAUCAGCACACUCAUACACUGAGGUGAGUGUGCGUUUCAGUCUGUAAUCUUUGCAUGCAUGUAGUUUGAUGUGUGUGUGUUUCUUCCUAUGCUGCAUGUCUGCUUGAGUGUAACUGCACAAUGCUAUCCUAGUGGUGGAAGAGGUAAUGAGAUCUUUCACUUAAGAAAUAGUGUCAAAACAGCAAUUUAAGCAUUCU
rnacentral:lncRNA from 1 species